rnacentral:RNase_P_RNA from 1 species
GAAGUGGGCUGGACGGUCGCUGCUGUGGAGGUCUCCGUGACUAAAACAGGGGAGGAAAGUCCGGGCUUCAUAGGGCAAGGUGCCAGGUAACGCCUGGGCGGCGAAAGUCGACGGCAAGUGCAGCAGAGAGUAGACCGCCUCAUUCGUGAGGUAAGGGUGAAAGGGUGCGGUAAGAGCGCACCGCGUGUCUGGUAACAGUUCACGGCAAGGUAAACCCCACCAGAAGCAAGACCAAAUAGGAAUCCUGAGGCACGGCCCGUGCUGGAUUCGGGUAGGUCGCUUGAGCGUAUGAGUGAUUGUACGCCUAGAGGAAUGAUCGUCCUCGACAGAACCCGGCUUAUAGGCCCACUUCUCAA